UACGUAGGUGGCAAGCGUUGUCCGGAUUUACUGGGCGUAAAGAGCGCGCAGGCGGUCGUGCAAGUCGCGUGUGAAAGCCCCCGGCUCAACUGGGGAGGGUCACGCGAUACUGCUCGACUUGAAGGCAGGAGAGGGAAGCGGAAUUCCCGGUGUAGUGGUGAAAUGCGUAGAUAUCGGGAGGAACACCAGUGGCGAAGGCGGCUUUCUGGUCUGCUCUUGACGCUGAGGCGCGAAAGCUAGGGUAGCAAACGGG
rnacentral:rRNA from 1 species